CCUUGAGACUUUGACUCAUCUGAACUCUGACCUCACCUGAAAGUCUACAGCAUCCUCUAACAAUGUAACAAGAAAGAAGGUCAAACUUUGAUCACAAUACUCUGUGUGUCAGUGGACUUGGACACACUAAUGAUCCUGAAAGUCAAGAAAACCUCCAGCUGUUAAAAAGUUCAAUAUCUGAUGAAGAUUUAAAGUCACAGAGUGAUCGCAUCUAAAGACUGUGAGCCAGUCAACCAGUUAGGAGACGUCCUCAGGUUGGCAGGUUGUGAUGACUCAUAUAUCUUGGCACUAAGGGAGAAUUUUAUUGUUCUUUAAUGUUUAACAGGAAAUAUGCCGACUUUGAGUUUGAUGUCAGACACACCCAUCCAUCAAGUUAAAACAGGAACAACAAUUCUUGUUAUAAAGUCAAACAGCAGGAACUCUGAUAUAUAAAAAAGCUUCAAGUUAAAACAUCUUCCCAAGACUAAUUACAGUUGUAGAAGUUGUAAAACAUGAAUUUUGUGGUUUAAUUGUCAUGAAGAAGUUUCCCUGAUAAAAAUGGACCCCGCCCUCGUCACUUUCUGAACUCAUGAAACCAGCGGGCGUUUUCCAACAGCAGAGAGCUCGGCUGGUUUGUAAGUAGCUGAAUGAGUUAAUCUGGUGUUUUCUGUGUGAUGGCUGAAUAUACCUGCUGACUUAUCUGUGAAUGUGCCCAACAAACUCAAUCAGUGAGAUUUGAAAGCAUCAAAACUUCAUGACUGAAAAAGGAUGAUAAAAGUCUGUGAAAUAGCUCAACAUUAGCACUUUGUGGAGUUUAGACCAGCCUGAGUACAGUCACUGUAGUUUGGUUUUUGAAGCAGUUUUGUGGUCAAGUUUAACAAAAUGUUGACUGAAAAGUGUUUUUUAUCUUUGUUAGUCAGUGUACUCACCGUUUUUGAAGUCAAUCCUUCUGGUGAAUUUGUUUGAACAGAGAUAUAAAGAGACUUGUCUCGACUGCAGCUCUGCUGUGCUCAGAUCACUUUUACUUUCAGUUCAGGAAAAAUCUGGUUGUUUACGUUCGUCCUUUUUCAGUGUUGCUCCUCCUCUCAGAGAAGCUCUAAGAGGAGGAGUUUCAUACUUGGUUAAAGUUAAAGAUCUGACAGCUGUGGAACAAGGAGACUUUACAGUUUAUUUGAUUUUACAGUGAAAGUAACACAACAGCAGAGGAGGAAGAGUACAGGACAAGCAGAGACCUGUGCCAAAGCACAGAGACCGUAGACCUGUCUGUAGUUGGAAUUGUAUCCCUAACGUGUGUCUAAAUAAAUUUCUUUUUCUUUCGAAUCAAAAUUUUAGAAGUUAAGAGAGCACAUUUGAAUUUACAAGUUGAUAAAAGUAACUGCAGUAGCAGAAAAAUCUGCUGAAAAAGGACAAAAUACAGAAUCCUCUUCCUCUGUUUUCUCUGUCCCUCCACUCUACUGCGCGUGAGUGUGUGUGUGUGUGUUCUCAGGCUCUCUCACACACACACCCCUUCCCCUCAGUAAACAUCCAAUCACUGUUUAGUAUGCAAAUGAGCCAGGAAGUGUCCAGACUAUGGUGUCAGGUUUCAGCAGGUAGGGUAAGAUUUCAAAGAAGCAGCAGAGCUUUGACAAAUUUGUCUGAGUGACUCUGAGAUAAUUAAUAAUGAACAAAAACAAGUAAAUUUAAAUAUAACAGAGGAGUGGAGAGGAAAAGAGAGAGAGGAGUGAGAGAAAAGAGAGAGGAGAUUUUUGAGCUGUUUAGUUGUGACCAAAAAACAAAAGUACCAGCCAAAAAAAGAGGAAAAGAAAAGAAAAUGCUCUAUAUCUGUUGUGUAUUAUAAAUUAGUUUUAAGUAAUUUUUAUUAUUAUUCAUAAACUACCUUUCAUUUUUGUAAAUAUUGACUUUUGUGUGUGAAGUCUUAUUUUAGGUUCAGAUUUAUUUGAGAACGAGACCAUCCAGUUAAAAUAAAUGUUAAAGGUGGGGUAGGCAGGAAUCCGUUAAAGAAGCAUCUUUUUUUGUGGUGUGUUUACAAAAAAGCUUUUAAUAUCAGUCAAUAGUUAUUAGUUAUUGAUGACCUUUGGUAAUAUAAUGAUAUCGCUGUGUUUUGUUAUGUCUGUGUAGUCAACAUUUUAAAUUUUCAGAGCGCUCCUCUUUUUCUGACUGUAAACAAAGCCGUUCUCCACCUCCACCAACCUGAUUGGUUGUGAGGCAGACGCUGCUCCCCCGUGUCGUUCAGGAGCCCAAACAAAGUUAGCGUGAUACAAUAUCAGACGGUAGAAACCAACCAGAAAGUUCGGAAACUUGUCUGAAUCCUCCUUUGGCCAUGACUGCCGACACAAGUAAGAAAACAAAGUAAAUACCGGAGACUCUGGAGGAAUAACUGGUGCUUAAAACGGAGGUAGACCGGACAAGAACUAAGUGUGACAAGUACUAUAUUCUCAUCUGCUACAUGUUAGAAAUAGUAUGUGAAAAGCUAAAAGUAUAAUACAUAUAAUUUGUGAACAGCUUUAAAAGGGGACAAUAAGUUCAUGGUCUGUAAUAUUAUUAAAAUGCUUGAAAAGGUAAAAUCUCAGAGAAAUGCUGAUAUGUUUAAAAAGAUUAAUAACAAGAGGGUUAAAGAAGGCGGGGGAGGUGGAUGAUGGGGGAGUCAUGGAUCUGAAUAAACUCCACGAGUAACACCAGAAAACCUCGGAUAUGUUGAAAUUAUUUCGGUUAUGUGAUCAAGAUUAAUCUCAUUUUAGUUUUUGAGAAGUUUGUUUUUACUUGCUUUUUCUAAAUCGGUCUUAAAUCAGAUGUUUUUACUUUCCUCACACAGUUUUUAACUCAAAUUAACAUUUUAAUUUUCAGUCAGAAACUGAGAAAAGAAGAACAUCCUGUGCUCCAUGAAUAAUUAAAUUAUCUAUGUAACACGCCGUUUACUCGAGCUAAACAUUUGUGGUAGAUUUAAGGAAAGUAGGAACGUUUACAUAAACUUAAACAUCACAUUAUUACUUGUAGCCAAACUUGAUUUAAUAAACAGAAGAAAUGGUCCACAGAAAACAUGAACAUGGACACCUAUGCUCAUAAAUCCCUCAGUGAGAAUCAACAGUGUGAUAAUUCUUGUGCAGUAACCAUGUACUAUUAAAGAUCUGAAUGUCCAAGAAAACCUCUGAUUUGGUCCUAAAACAGAUUAAAAUAAACUCUAAAGGUUCCUGUUAUUCUUAUCUGAGCAAAUUAUUUUCAGCUCUAGUCCGCCAUCUAGUGGACAAAGUAGAUACAGCCCUCUCAGGUCAUCUUGAAGUUCACAGUGUUUUGAUUUUGGGGUGUUUUUCAGACCUGACCUCUGACCCUCUAGACUGAAGCGGUUUGAGUCUUUGUAUCGUCUCAAGUGUGUGAAGUUGAGUUCAGCUUCAGCUUGUUCUUAUGUCUCAUCCGUCUGGGGAGAUUCUUGCAGUUGAAACUCGACUUCACCGUCUCACUCUGGGGCCGUCUAUAAAAGGAAAAAAAAAGGAACAGAGGGAGUAAACUGGAGGCUUGAAGUGUGAAAACAAAACCUCAGAAAUCUUACAAAGUUUGCAAAAACUCACGAGGAGGCGGCUUUCAGUUUCUAUGGUCCCCGUUUGUGGAACAGUCUGCUGGAGAGUCUCAUGAUUACAUCACUUCCAAUACACUUCAAUCAAUAUUAUCAGUAAGAUUAUUCAUAUAGAAAUAAACCAGUGAUAUCUUUCACAUGUUGUCAGUAAAUAACGGCAAAAGAUUAAACGACUGAAAGCUGGGAGAUAAGUGAACUGACAGGAAACUGAAUUAAAGUAUUUGUUUAGAUGUUAAUUCAUCAUGAAAAGAGGCUGACAAGAAUCCUUUAUGGAAGUGUCUCAAAUUAGUAAGGCUUUAUGGAUAUCUGUUUUUCAGGGUCAGAACAGGUUCUGAUCAUCAGUAGGUCACAACACUUGAGGCCUUGAGACCACUGAGGCGCCAAAGACCCAGAAUUCCCAUUUACUGAUUUAUUUGGAUGGACUGGUGUGGUCAAUUUUACAAUCAUUCAUUCAUUCAUCCGUGGUUAUUGUCGCUGCAAUAACUGAAACAGGAAGAAGACUCUUAGUUUAGUUGUUUAUUAUUGACAUAUCUGACAAAUACACUUUGACAUUAGUGACAUUUGCUGGUACGAUCAGAGAAAGAUGAGGUCUUAAACUCAGCAGAGAGACUUUAAAGAUGAGAAUAAAGAAUGAUGAGUACGAUUUGAGCUGAUUUAACAGUCUGGUGUGAAGGUAAAGAAGUUCUGAACACUGAUAAAAUAACACUUGAUUAAACUGAUCAAAACUGUAACAUUGGUUUAGUGAAGUAAGAAGUAAUGCUGCAUAUUUAAAAAAAGAUGGACUUAAAUUGUUGGUAUCCAUACUGAUGUGGAUUUUAAAGUAAAAACAUCAUAAUAAUGUAGAUUUAUGAUAUUAAUGAUGGUUAUCGUUGUUCAGAACAUCUACUCAGUGUGAUUGACUGGAGAGAUGAUCAGAGGAGCAGAGUUUUCACCACCAUCGUUAGGACAUGGACAGAAGUAUGGAAAGAGUUUUUCUGUGAAGGAGCAGCCGGUGAAGGAGUAGAUCAGAGCUGCAGCAUCAACGUCAUAAAAGGAGACCAGACCCUCCUCAUAGUCCACAAACACCCCCACCUUCUCAGGAUCAGACUGAAGACAGAGAUCGACUGAAGGGUCAUCAAGAGCUUCGUACUCAUUUUCAUUUCUCAACACAAUCGUCCAGAAACCAUCUUCAGGAGUCAGAGUGAUUUCUCCCUUCCUGUUGAUGGACUCUCUAACUACUCCUAAAUCCCAGUCAGUCUUCCCUUUAACCUGAACCUCAAAGUAAAAUCUGCCUGAAGAAAAACUCUGCUUUGAUAAAACACAAACACAUUUAUCAAAUCUCUCUGGAUUGUCUGGUAGAUUCUUCUCUUCAUCACCACAAUAAACUUGUUUUCCAUCAUCAGACAGGAUGAGAUAUGGAUUUGCUGUAUCAGGAUCGAGUGUCACAUCCACCUCACACUGCUGGACUCUCUUCAGCUCGGCCUCAAUCAGCUUCUUCAUUAGUUCCCUGAGCGUCUCCUCCAGCUGGUCCACAGCUCUCACCACAGUCCCCUCAUAUGAAGGUGGAUGGACGCGGACUUCAGUCCAGUUCUUGGUGGGUGGAGCAGCGUUCAGGGUGGUGAAGUUUUGGAGGAGGUGGAGGUGGUCUUCAGAGCGUGAGAGCUGCUCCAGCUCAGAGCUCCUCUUCUCCAGCUCCCAGAUUUCCUGUUGCAGCUCUGUGAUGAAGCCUUCAGCCUGUUCCUCCGUCUCUCUCUGCUUCUCUUUGAUGGUGUGGAUGAACUCGGCCUGGCUUCUCUCUACAGAUUCUUUCAGAGCCGUGAAGACCUCCACACCUUCAGCCAUCUCUCUGUCUGCAUUCUUAGUACUGAGCUCCACUGACUCUUUGAGCUCUUCAAUCUUCAGUCGUCUCUCCAGGAUCAUCUGCUGAAUUUCAGCCUCUGUCUUCCCCAGCUCGGCCUUCUUUCCUUCAUAUUCUUCUCUCAGAGGAACAACAUCAUGGGUCCUGUGGUCUGUAACACUGCAGAGCAUGCAGACACACAUCUGGUCAUUCUUACAGAACAGCUCCAGCAGUUUGUCGUGUUUCUCACACAUCCUGACUGACACAUGAGCUGACUGUCUGAACUGAGCGGACAUCUCAGAGAUGAAGGUGUUGAUCUUCAGCUCUGGUCUUCUGAAGAAAACCUCGUUACAGUUUGGACACUGAUGUGGAACAUUGACAUCCCAGUGUUGAGAGAUGCAGGAUUUACAGAAGUUGUGUCCACAUGGUAUGGUGACAGGAUCAGUGAAGACAUCCAGACAGAUGGAGCACAGGAACUGAUCUUCAGUCAGCAGACAGCUGGCAGCAGACAUUUUUACAACCUGAGGAUUAUCAGUGGAAGAUCAACACGUUAAAACACUAAACAUAUACUGUAGAUCUAUUUUUGAGUCUAUCCUUGUCAUCAUCAUCGUGAUACUGUCAUGAAUAAUUUGGUGACUUUCAGUUAAAUUCUGGCCUAAAUCUGGAAAAAGGAAAGACUGCAGAGUGUUUUUGGAAAAAGCAGAACAAUAUUUUUAAAAUCCUGGAGACUUUGACUCAUCUGAACUCUGACCUCACCUGAAAGUCUACAGCAUCCUCUAACAAUGUAACAAGAAAGAAGGUCAAACUUUGAUCACAGUACUCUGUGUGUCAGUGGACUUGGACACACUAAUGAUCCUGAAAGUCAAGAAAACCUUCAGCUGUUAAAAAGUUCAAUAUCUGAUGAAGAUUUAAAGUCACAGAGUGAUCGCAUCGAAAGACUGUGAGCCAGUCAACCAGUGAGGAGACAUCCUCAGGUUGGCAGGUUGUGAUGACUCAUAUAUCUUGGCACUAAGGGAGAAUUUUAUUGUUCUUUAAUGUUUAACAGGAAAUAAGCAGACUUUGAGUUUGGUGUCAGACACACCCAUCCAUCAAGUUAAAACAGGAACAACGAUUCUGGUUAUAAAGUCAAACAGCAGGAACUCUGAUAUAUAAAAAAGCUUCAAGUUAAAACAUCUUCCCAAGACUAAUUACAGUUGUAGAAGUUGUAAAACAUGAAUUUUGUGGUUUAAUUGUCAUGAAGAAGUCUCCCUGAUAAAAAUGGACCCCGCCCUCGUCACUUUCUGAACUCAUGAAACCAGCGGGCGUUUUCCAACAGCAGAGAGCUCGGCUGGUUUGUAAGUAGCUGAAUGAGUUAAUCUGGUGUUUUCUGUGUGAUGGCUGAAUAUACCUGCUGACUUAUCUGUGAAUGUGCCCAACAAACUCAAUCAGUGAGAUUUGAAAGCAUCAAAACUUCAUGACUGAAAAAGGAAGAUAAAAGUCUGUGAAAUAGCUCAACAUUAGCACUUUGUGGAGUUUAGACCAGCCUGAGGACAGUCACUGUAGUUUGGUUUUUGAAGCAGUUUUGUGGUCAAGUUUAACAAAAUGUUGACUGAAAAGUGUUUUUUAUCUUUGUUAGUCAGUGUACUCACCGUUUUUGAAGUCAAUCCUUCUGGUGAAUUUGUUUGAACAGAGAUAUAAAGAGACUUGUCUCGACUGCAGCUCUGCUGUGCUCAGAUCACUUUUACUUUCAGUUCAGGAAAAAUCUGGUUGUUUACGUUCGUCCUUUUUCAGUGUUGCUCCUCCUCUCAGAGAAGCUCUAAGAGGAGGAGUUUCAUACUUGGUUUAAGUUAAGAAUGACAGCUGUGGAACAAGGAGACUUUACAGGUAAUUUGAUUUUACAGUGAAAGUAACACAACAGCAGAGGAGGAAGAGUACAGGACAAGCAGAGACCUGUGCCAAAGCACAGAGACCGUAGACCUGUCUGUAGUUGGAAUUGUAUCCCUAACGUGUGUCUAAAUAAAUUUCUUUCUCUUUCAAAUCAAAAUUUUAGAAGUUAAGAGAGC
rnacentral:lncRNA from 1 species